rnacentral:miRNA from 1 species
UGAUACACUAGCACGGAUCAC